AAAGCCCUGUUGCAAAACAAAUGCGGACUGAACGCUUGCGUUCAAGGACGUAUUUGUUUUAGCAACGCUAACAGAAAUGAGGAAGUAGGCCGAUAGGCCGGAUUCCGAAUUUCUGUAGCCCGGCCUUAGCGCGAAUGCGCGAUGCCGGGCGUAGGGAUUU
rnacentral:sRNA from 1 species